rnacentral:rRNA from 1 species
GGCAGCACGGACUUGCUCUGGUGGCGAGUGGCGAACGGGUGAGUAAUAUAUCGGAACGUACCCUAGAGUGGGGGAUAACGUAGCGAAAGUUACGCUAAUACCGCAUACGAUCUAAGGAUGAAAGUGGGGGAUCGCAAGACCUCAUGCUCGUGGAGCGGCCGAUAUCUGAUUAGCUAGUUGGUAGGGUAAAAGCCUACCAAGGCAUCGAUCAGUAGCUGGUCUGAGAGGACGACCAGCCACACUGGAACUGAGACACGGUCCAGACUCCUACGGGAGGCAGCAGUGGGGAAUUUUGGACAAUGGGCGAAAGCCUGAUCCAGCAAUGCCGCGUGAGUGAAGAAGGCCUUCGGGUUGUAAAGCUCUUUUGUCAGGGAAGAAACGGUGAGAGCUAAUAUCUUUUGCUAAUGACGGUACCUGAAGAAUAAGCACCGGCUAACUACGUGCCAGCAGCCGCGGUAAUACGUAGGGUGCAAGCGUUAAUCGGAAUUACUGGGCGUAAAGCGUGCGCAGGCGGUUUUGUAAGUCUGAUGUGAAAUCCCCGGGCUCAACCUGGGAAUUGCAUUGGAGACUGCAAGGCUAGAAUCUGGCAGAGGGGGGUAGAAUUCCACGUGUAGCAGUGAAAUGCGUAGAUAUGUGGAGGAACACCGAUGGCGAAGGCAGCCCCCUGGGUCAAGAUUGACGCUCAUGCACGAAAGCGUGGGGAGCAAACAGGAUUAGAUACCCUGGUAGUCCACGCCCUAAACGAUGUCUACUAGUUGUCGGGUCUUAAUUGACUUGGUAACGCAGCUAACGCGUGAAGUAGACCGCCUGGGGAGUACGGUCGCAAGAUUAAAA